ACGGAGGGUUUCCCUUCAAAUCGUAUAAAUAUUUCGCCUUUUACUAAAGAUUUCUGUGAACACUCAAAUGUCACACAAAUUUUCUAUUAAAAUUUUUAUUGACUAAAAAAAU
rnacentral:snRNA from 1 species